CUUGUACACACCGCCCGUCACACCAUGGGAGUGGGUUUCACCAGAAGUAGGUAGUCUAACCCCAAGGAGGACGCUUACCACGGUGAGAUUCAUGACUGGGGUG
rnacentral:rRNA from 1 species